rnacentral:misc_RNA from 1 species
AGCAAAGGAAUAAAAUCUCCAUAAUUGUACUCAAAGCUUUGAGCCAACCGACUUCUCUCAGAAUUAAACCUAGUAGCUUCAAUGAACAAAGGGUCAUCUUGAGACUGAAAUCUUGCAUCAAACAUCAUUCCAUACAUAAUAUUAUAUAGCAUCAGCUGCAAACGUUUCCUGAUGACAAUCCCUUCACUUCUCAUCUUCUCAGCAUGUUUAAACAAGUCAGUCACCACAAGCUCCAUUUCUUGCUCCCACAUAUUGCUAUAAUGUUGCACAACUUUGUUAGUGAAGAAUGGUAGGGUCAUAAUUCUACGCAUCUUUCUCCAAUGAUCACCAUAGAUUGUGAACACCAUAUCUUGACCAUUGCCUGUGAAAAUAUCGAACACAACAUUACGUGGUCGAGACCCGAAUUCUACACCUUGUGUGUGUAGAACUUGGGUGGCUAGCUCAGGAUCUGAAACCACUGCUAAAUUUUUUGAACCAAGCUUUAGUAGGAAUAUGGGACCAUAAGACUUUGACAUGGAGGCUAGAAGACGGUGGUUAAGGUCAUUCCCAACUUGGAGCCAAUUCCCAAAUAUUGGGAUUGAAAUAGGGCCUGGAGGGAGGUUCCUUUGGUGACUCUUCUGUUGCUUAAACGAGUGUGCAAUAAGAAUUAGAGGGAGGAUGAGUGAGAAAUGUGCAAAUUUGGUGAAAAAUAAUGCCACCAGUGCUAUAGCAAUGAGAGAGCAAGAUAUUGAAUUUGAAACAGGAUGACCCAUGUUGAGA